rnacentral:rRNA from 1 species
GACGUAGGGCGCGAGCGUUGUCCGGAUUUAUUGGGCGUAAAGAGCUCGUAGGCGGCUUGUUGCGUCGACUGUGAAAACCCGCGGCUUAACUGCGGGCUUGCAGUUGAUACGGGCAGGCUAGAGUUCGGUAGGGGAGACUGGAAUUCCUGGUGUAGCGGUGAAAUGCGUAGAUAUCGUAAGGAAGACCAGUGGCGAAAGGCGGGUCUCUGGACAGUUCCUGGCGCUGAGGCACGAAGGCCAGGGGAGCAAACGGG